rnacentral:rRNA from 1 species
GGGGAAUUUUGGACAAUGGGGGCAACCCUGAUCCAGACAUGCCGCGUGAGUGAAGAAGGCCUUCGGGUUGUAAAGCGCUUUCGGACGGAAAGAAAUCGCCGCCUCUAACAUAGGCGGUGGAUGACGGUACCGUAAGAAGAAGCACCGGCUAACUACGUGCCAGCAGCCGCGGUAAUACGUAGGGUGCGAGCGUUAAUCGGAAUUACUGGGCGUAAAGCGUGCGCAGGCGGUUUGGUAAGACAGGUGUGAAAUCCCCGGGCUUAACCUGGGACGUGGCUUUGGACUGGCUAGGCAGGAGAAGGUAGGGGGGGGUGGAAUUCCACGUGUAGCAGUGAAAUGCUUAGAGAUGUGGAGUAACACCGAUGGCGAAGGCAGCCCCCUGGGCCUGUACUGACGCUCAUGCACGAAAGCGUGGGGAGCAAACA